AGCAGCCGCGGUAAUUCCAGCUCCAAUAGCGUAUAUUAAAGUUGUUGCAGUUAAAAAGCUCGUAGUUGAAUUUCGGGGUUCUACCGUUGGUCGGGCUUUGUCUGUACUGGCGUGUAGAAUUUCUACCUUCUGGGGAACCAUCAUGUUAUUAAUUUAACGUGGUGGGAAACCAGGACCUUUACCUUGAAAAAAUUAGAGUGUUCAAAGCAGGCUUAUGUCUGAAUACAUUAGCAUGGAAUAAUAGAAUAGGACGGUGGUCCUGUUUUGUUGGUUUCUGAAUCACCGUAAUGAUUAAUAGGGAUAGUUGGGGGCAUUAGUAUUCAAUUGUCAGAGGUGAAAUUCUUGGAUUUAUUGAAGACUAACUUCUGCGAAAGCAUUUGCCAAGGAUGUUUUCAUUAAUCAAGAACGAAAGUUAGGGGAUCGAAGACGAUCAGAUACCGUCGUAGUCUUAACCAU
rnacentral:misc_RNA from 1 species